GUCGCUCGCUCCUUGACGGCUGACCGACACUGGGUCUGAGGUGUAAGCGCUUUCCAGGCCCUUCCCUGGGGCUUGGAGGGGAAUGGCGCAAAGGACUUUUCUUACAAGCAGAGCCACUGCAGUUACCAAAGAGUAUGUCGCUUAUUGUCUAAGAGGUUGGACUCCUGAAAGCCUGGACAGUGUCAUCAUCUUCACCUGAAGAGUGGAAAAAUUCAAGCAAAGAGUUUCUCAGGAAAUGACCAAGUAAAACAUCUGGAGUAAGUCAGCAGGAUUCACAGUGACUCCCCCCAACCAGCUGGUGGUGUUUCUCUCUGAAAGCAGCGCUUGGUACCAGUGUGAACUCUCUUCCUUCAGAAGUCUCAUCAGGUGUGGACGUAAUACGAGGGUCUGGUCCCCCAUACCUUGAGGACUCCGCUGCCAUCUGACAAUUACAGACAAUCCAAUUGUCCUCAUCCUUGAGGACUCUGCUGCCAUCUGACAAUUAGAGACAGUCCAAAACAUGCCACACUUUGAUCCUAAACACAUUCCUGGCUUUGGUCACUUUUGAAAAGUUCCUGAGUUAUGAGAAAUCAAUAAUAAGAGUGUUCAAAACCUGAACACUCUUUUUAGAAAUACCUGCUGGAACUACAUAUAUGAUUUAUGGGGUACUGUCUUGUAGUAUCUGGGAAAGUAGACCCAUCUAACCUGGAAUGAUCAUAGGCAACAAUGACCAAAAAUGGGGAUCUUUUGAUAUACCUAAAGUAAUUUAUUUGUGCACACCAUUGGAAAGAGCUGGUUUUAGAACCAGACAUGUAAAUAAGAGACUGACUUCCACUGGCACCUAAAAACUUCUAAAAGAAAUCCUGAAAGAAAAAGUCACCUUCAUUCAAGAGGUAAACAAAGGGAUAUUUGAAACUAUGUUAAAAGACUUCAGAGGCUUUCUCCCUUUCACCUCCAGACCCUCCUUUUCCUUCCAGCCCUGUGAUCUGAACUCAUCCCUUUCUGCCGCUUCUCUUGGCUUCCAUACAUCUCUUAGGCAGAGAUGUUUUAAAAUUUCACAAUGUACACAUUUCCUUCUCUCAGGGGAAAUGAAUUUAAAUUUAGAGCAGAAGGAACAAGCAGAACAACAACAGAAUGGGAAUAAGACUGCUGAGACUAUAAAAAUGCAGAUCCAACAAAAUUUUUUCUCACCAGGUCUAGUGAAUGACACUGUGAUAUGGUCUGGCUCUGUGUUCCCAACAAAAUGUCAUCUCGAAUUGUAAUCCCCACGUGUCGGGGGAGAAGCCUGGUGGGAGAUGAUUGGAUCAUGGAGGCAGUUUCCCCCAUGCUGUUUUCAUGAUAGGGAGGGAGUUCUUACGAGAUGUGAUGGUUUAAAAGUGUUUGGCAGUGGCCGGGCGCGGUGGCUCACGCCUGUAAUCCCAGCACUUUGGGAGGCCGAGGCGGGUGGAUCAUGAGGUCAGG
rnacentral:lncRNA from 1 species